CCGCCGUUGCCAUGGUCCCACCAUCCCCCACAUGGGAAAUGGCAGCAGCCGUGCCACAGGGGUUCACUUUUUAAAACGUUUUAAAUUCAGCUGUCAGAACGAAAAGAUGGCGAGGCAUCCAGCUUUCCGAAUAUACGUGAGUUAAGCAGCACUGUACAGGAGCAAUCAGCGUUGCAGAGAGAGCGUGCAGAAAAUGGUGUACAGGAAAAUGGAGAGAGGAGAUGGAGCGGGGAAGAAAACAGAAGCUGGGAAGGGUUUUUAGCCAUUCUAUGAUUCUAUGACUUUCUGGUCAUUCUGGAGCAUCAGCAGCUGUACCUGGAUAUGAAUUGCACUGUGAUACAGGGAGAAACUGGAGCUGCCUCAUCAGUGCCAUUUCCAUGUUGUCUGAUCUCAGGAGAAGGACAGCAUGGAUGAAUUUGUGCAACAACCCUACCAGCCAUAGAAGAUUAUAUCUUAUGAGAAAAUCCACUGGUGCCUUGUAAGCUACACUGGCCAUUCCUCACCCACAGUGGCAUGAAAUACAGCAGGAUACUUAUAAGAAGUAGAAACAAGAAAAACACAGAGUUGUAAGGAAGAUUUUUAUGUUUGGAAGACUGUGGGGGCCCAAGCACGGCAUGCACUGUGUUUGGGGGUGGGAAGGGUCUCGUUAGUGUGGCACCUUUGAGCUGUAACUUAUUUCUCCAACUGUGUAUCCAAUCAUUGGCAUGGCAGGAGUCCAAAAUAAUCCUGUUUGGAGAGAGGAAAGUGCCUGUGGAGCUGGGCUGAAGUUGUUUGUCCUUUCCUUGUGAAGAUAUGCAUAGUGUGGGAGGUGGUUCCUCCUUCCUCCCUGCAUCUUUAGCCACUGUGAAAACUGAUAAUUCCAUGAGACAGUCAACUAUGCAACUGCAGAUCCACAUAUAAUCACAGAAGUCUGAGAUGCUCUCUCCCAACACACAACUAAGCAGUACACAGACAUGCAAGCAGCUUCACAAACUUGCUAACAGAUGCUCCAUACCAAGUUAAAUGAAGUUAGUUAGUGAUGGGUGAGCAGGGAGAAUGAUGGCCCAAAAAGCUGAUACUGAAGAAAAAGGAUGAGGCAGUGGAAGAUAAAAGGAAGUACAGAAGCUGAUUUGAUUUGCCACUGUUUGCUAGAAAUGUAUCCUUUUGCCCACUUCUAGAUGCCAUACAGAUGUAUAAAAAAAUUGCAGCCUGUCAGUCUAACCAGGUAAAGCUCUCCUCCAGUGCCCUGACAUCAAAACUCAAUAAAACAACCUUUGGUAUUAAAUCAGUGUGAAUGUUAAAUAACAUCUGUGCCAAGCAGGGAGAUGCCAGCCCUGUUGGAUGAAUACAUGCCAGAGCAUUUAGAUGAUAACUGGUGUGAUGAAUUAAACUCUUAUCCAAAUAGAUACCUAGGCAAAGAGCACAGCGACCAAAUUCCAUCGUGCACUACCUUGUUAUCUCCACCGGGUUGCAAAAUGGUUGAUUCAGAGGCAGAAGAUAGCCUUUGGCAUUAUCUGUGAAUAGUACUAUGAUCCCCACUAAGCAAACCAGUGUGGUUUUACUUCCUGUUGUUCCUGGGCCUUUUUCAAGCGAGCUUUCUAGCAGUACUCUGCCCCAAUGUUUAUGUGGCAAUCAGCUGAAGUCUGCAUUAGUAAGAAAGGGUUCAUUUCCAGGAAGGGAACCAGGGCUGUGGGCAGGGCAUCAGGUGCCUCAGGGUCCAACCUCCUGUCACACAGCUGUGGUUCCUAGGCUGAGCUGCCAUGACAAAAACAAGAUACAGAAUCCAUCCUUGGAUGGCGCAGAGCCACAGACACCGAGCACAGCAGUUUGAGCUCUUUCUUCUUUAUCUUUUGUGGCACUGAAGAUUACGAUCGAAAAGAUGGCCAGGAUGCAACUUAUUAAUUAAAAUGUACUGAGUUCACCAGCAAUCUUAACUGAAA